CCUACGGGAGGCAGCAGUGGGGAAUAUUGCACAAUGGGGGAAACCCUGAUGCAGCGAUGCCGCGUGAGUGAAGAUGUCUUUCGGUAUGUAAAGCUCUAUCAUCAGGGAAGAAAAUGACGGUACCGGAUUAAGAAGCGCCGGCUAACUACGUGCCAGCAGCCGCGGUAAUACGUAGGGGGCACGCGUUAUCCGGAUUUACUGGGUUUAAAGGGAGCGUAGACGGCAGCACAAGUCUGGAGUGAAAUGCCGGGGCUUAACCCCGGAGCUGCUUUGGAAACUGGGCAGCUAGAGUGCAGGAGCGGUCAGUGGAAUGUGUAGUGUAGCGGUGAAAUGCGUAGAUAUUAGGAGGAACACCAGUGGCGAAGGCGGCUGACUGGACUGUAACUGACGUUGAGGCUCGAAAGCGUGGGGAGCAAACAGGAUUAGAUACCCGGGUAGUC
rnacentral:rRNA from 1 species